CAGUAAUGAACAAACGGCAUGACCUUAAUCAGGGAGCCCGAACCACUCACUGGCGGAAAGCAUGUGUGCCUGUGUAUGAUGGCAGAUUAAAUCCACGGCAGGAAACAGUGAUAAUGCCCAGUGUAGAGCCCUGUGAGCUACGACAGCUAAGUUUCCCAUAUCUGGCAAGCUGAAAAAGUACAGUAUUUUCCUGAGAGAAGUAAAGGUCCUGUUCUCCAGUCCCUUAGUUGCUCUGAAGCCUUUCCAACUCUUCAACUGCAGCCAGAGAGCUGAACAUUCAGCAGCAAGCAAGAACAUUCAGCAGCAAGCAAAGAGAAGUUGUUGCCAGAUGGAGAAGUAUGACUAACUCUCUUGACUGGCCUAACAGACAGUCCUGAAGCCCUGGCAAAUGACUCAGUGCCAAAAAGAUUUCUAAUAGUACUGCAUGCGCUUGGCCCAUCCCUCACUACCUGGAAACAGUUGGUGACCAAAGCUUUGGGACAUCACAGCGUUUAUGCAACAUAGAGCUGCAAAAACAUACAGAUUGUCAGCUCCAGAAAUAUGUUUAUCCUCUCUGCCAUAUUCAACGAUAUGCAAAGAGAGGUAAGCAGAUUUAUGGUGCUGAGCUACGAACCAGUUGUGGCCCAGCUGAAGAGACUGUUGAACUUGUACAAUGCAGAGGGUACAGGCUAGGUGGGUUGUGCCAUCUGCUUAGAAAGAAAAGGCAAAGGAGAGUUUUAACAGCUGUUUGUUGAGUCAGAUACUCAUCCCUGAUCGUUUGUGCCACAGUGGCAGAUAACUGCCAAAGAAAUGCAUCCCCUGUAGCUUAAUAGACCUGACCUGUAUGUUAUAAAGUUGCACCUGCUGGAAACAAGCCUUAUGAUGUAGUGCUCAUAAAAUGCCAGUGAUCCUACUAGAGAAAUGUCCUGAAAUCAGCAUGUUGGAUUUAUCCCUGUUUCUCUCUGUAGCUGGUAGUGCUGUAGCAGGAGACAGCAGGAUAUAUCCCUGCAAAUUCUACAAGGUGAUUACAUGAGCCUGAGCACUCUGUUCCAUGUUACAUUCACGUUUUCCCUGACUAUGCUCAGUUUGCUGGGUAUGACAUACUGCAUGUUAGUCGCUCCUAGUCUGCAUGAGUCAUAUGUUGAAGCGUGAAAGCAAGGCUGCAUCUCUGUCGUUGUUAUUCAUUGCUCAGUUGCUGCCGUACCACAUAGCUCAAGCCAGUUGAGCUCACCUUGUUUAUAAGGGUGAAGUUUGAAUAUAAACCUGCUCCCAGCUACUGCCUGGCCCCUUUAAAUGUGAUGCAGAAUGUAGCCCAACAUUUGGGAAUGUGACUGCCAUAUGUGUUUGGGUUUGGGCUCUGAGUUAAGAACCUCCAGAUGUUCUUCUGAGGGGAUCAUAAAGUGUCCAGAAAACCUACAGGCAUCUUGAAAUGUUAUUUUAAAAAUGGAAAGAAUUUAAGGCGUCUCAUAGAGUAAGCACACCUGUAGAAGCAGGUGGCUAAAGUGUGUUCUUUGUCUUCCUCAUAUAGCUGACGGUGCAAGAUUACACGUUAUUAUGUAAAAGCCUUUGAUGGGUUGCUUAGACAGAUGAACCAAGAUUGGUUUCACACUUUCAAAGUCUGAGAAGUGCUAGUGCACUCAUAUCAUGGACAUCAUUUCUCAGACAUGAAACAUCCCCUGUAGACUCGCUGAGGUGUUUUCAUUGAUAAGAGGAUAGAUCUGCAGUCUGUAGAUCAUUGAGCGCCAACAAGUUGCAGGAUCGCUUGUGGCUGCAGGCAUGAAGCUGCUGUCUGUUGCAGCUGUGGUCAUUGGACAGAGCCAUUUGUUGUCUGUGAUACAGAAGAUGUGUUCCAGUCAGGUGACAGUUAGUGCUUCGGAUUAAAUCUGUUUAACAAAGGAUACAAAGCAGAGUACAGUUGUAUUAUACCUGUCAUUUGUAAGUGUCCAGUGAUCCUCCAACAUUAUAUGAUUCACGAAGCUGAAAGCAAUGAUUUACGUAAAAAAUUACUAAUGCUCAUUCUGCCUGCAGAACCCCUUAAUUCCCGUUACACAUGUCAGCAUAUUAUGACUGGGAGCUGUCAAAUUCUAAUGACUAAAAUUUCAUUUUUCUGUCUUUUCAUGCUGUGUUUGAGAACUAUAGGUUGGAAAUAAUUCCCUAGCUAAAUUUCUUCUUCAAAUGGUAAACUCAACCGUUUGCUCUCACUCUCUCUCUCUUUCUCUCUG